ensembl:lincRNA
AAUUGGGAUUGCUGUAAAGGAAAAAACAGUGGGUAAAUACAUGAAAUAUACAAAAACCCUGCCCAGUGCACCUCUGUAAAGUGUGUCUUGGAUAUAUCUUGUCCACUGUUACAGUGAUGCCAGAGACUCAGCAUAGCACAGCACCAGUAAAUAAAAAAGAACAAAGAUUUCUUUCGGAUGAGAAAGCACAAACACCCAUUCAUAAAACCAUUGGUGGCAGUGUAUGAUUACAUCUGGAAAAGCCAUGGCAUUAAGUCCAGUGUCUCCAGCUGUGACCUCCAACAUCAAAAUGAAAUUUCUGUGUCUGCACUUGGUCCAGGAGAUAUUACUUCUCAUGUAUCUGUAUAUACCAUUUAUCCCAGUGGGUUGCAAGAGCUGUACCACCAUUUUCUGAGACUCCCCGGUGGGCCAUUGUUGAGGUGUUUGGUGAUAUCAGUGGCUUAA